ACCACCACCGGCGAACCAGUCCCGCGGAAACGGCGCCCGCGGCGCGCGGGGACGCGCGUCCCGACGAGCUCCGAACAGAACCCCAUGGGCGCGGCGAGCGCCAAGGAAUCGAAGCGGAAGGGGCGGCCGCCUCGCCGGGUGCGGGGACGCCGCCCGUCUGUUGAAUCUUUUAGACGACUCUCGGCAACGGAUAUCUCGGCUCUCGCAUCGAUGAAGAACGUAGCGAAAUGCGAUACUUGGUGUGAAUUGCAGAAUCCCGUGAACCAUCGAGUCUUUGAACGCAAGUUGCGCCCGAGGCCACUCGGCCGAGGGCACGCCUGCCUGGGGGUCACGCCACCCAUCGCACCCCCUCGGCAUUCCCAUGCCCCGCCGGGGAGCGGAGACUGGCCGUCCGUGCCCGAGCCCUCGGCGCGCGGUCGGCCGAAAAAGGAGGACACCGUGCGGCGCGACACGGCGUGUGGGGGUUGAGAGGCGACUCGUCGCCGAUCGUACGUCGCGCCCGCAUUCCGCCGCGCGGUGCCGCCCCGUGGGACCGGACCCGCCCGCAUCCGCGGGCGCUCGGACCGCGACCCCAGG
rnacentral:rRNA from 1 species